GUGAGGAAUAUUGGUCAAUGGGCGCAAGCCUGAACCAACCAUGCCGCGUGCAGGAAGACGGUCCUAUGGAUUGUAAACUGCUUUUAUUUGGGAAUAAACUCCGGUACGUGUACCGGCCUGAAGGUACCAAAUGAAUAAGCACCGGCUAACUCCGUGCCAGCAGCCGCGGUAAUACGGAGGGUGCAAGCGUUAUCCGGAAUCAUUGGGUUUAAAGGGUCCGCAGGCGGUCUUAUAAGUCAGUGGUGAAAGCCUACAGCUCAACUGUAGAACUGCCAUUGAUACUGUAGGACUUGAAUUCGAUCGAAGUGGGCGGAAUGUGACAUGUAGCGGUGAAAUGCUUAGAUAUGUCACAGAACACCGAUAGUGAAGGCAGCUCACUAGGUCUGGAUUGACGCUCAGGGACGAAAGCGUGGGGAGCAAACAGGAUUAGAUACCCGAGUAGUCC
rnacentral:rRNA from 1 species